UACGAAGGGGGCUAGCGUUGUUCGGAAUUACUGGGCGUAAAGCGCACGUAGGCGGACUUGUCAGUCAGGGGUGAAAUCCCGAGGCUUAACCUCGGAACUGCCUUUGAUACUGCAAGUCUUGAGGAUGAGAGAGGUAAGUGGAACUGCGAGUGUAGAGGUGAAAUUCGUAGAUAUUCGCAAGAACACCAGUGGCGAAGGCGGCUCUCUGGGACGGUACUGACGCUGAGACGCGAAAGCGUGGGGAGCGAACAGG
rnacentral:rRNA from 1 species